rnacentral:lncRNA from 1 species
AGCCAUAUAAGGAGACCAAGGACCUCAAAUUCCUCCGAUGUGGGACAACUCAACACCCCCCAGCACGCCCAGAUCUCUGGAGCGUGGACAACAUAAAUGGGGACCCAACAUCGGUAACAAUAAAUUGGGAUGGGCCUGGCUCUGAUACCAUGUUAACAUUCUAUGUCGUCGGAUUAAAAGAAAAUUGAAGAAGGAGAUGAACAGUCGAGAAGAGAGAGAAGAGAGAAAAUGAAAGAUUGAGAUUGCAUUGAAAAAUGAAUUGUCUCGAACUUUCUGACCCUCCUUCAGUAUAUACAGAUGUAAUAAAAAAUCUAAUGUGUGUGUGUGUAAUUACAUUUGUGUCCCUAUCUCAUAUACAAAUUUAUACAACAAUUAAAUAAGCUAACUACCCUUGGGCUGCUUUGGAGUUGGGCUGGC